rnacentral:rRNA from 1 species
CAAUAGCGUAUAUUAAAGUUGUUGCAGUUAAAAAGCUCGUAGUUGGAUUUGUGGCGUACGGUGUGUUCCGGGCACUUGUUGUCUGAGUAACCUGCUGUUGCCAUCCUUGGGUGGAAACUGUGUGGCAUUAGGUUGUCGUGCAGGGGAUGCCCAUCAUUUACUGUGAAAAAAUUAGAGUGUUCAAAGCAGGCUUAUGCCGUUGAAUAUAUUAGCAUGGAAUAAUGAGAUAGGACUUUUUUGCUAUUUUGUUGGUUUGCGCAAAGAGGUAAUGAUUAAUAGGGACAGUUGGGGGUAUUCGUAUUCCAUUGUCAGAGGUGAAAUUCUUGGAUUUUUGGAAGACGAACUACUGCGAAAGCAUUUACCAAGGAUGUUUUCAUUAA